rnacentral:rRNA from 1 species
GAUGAACGCUGGCGGCGUGCCUAAUACAUGCAAGUCGAGCGGACAGAUGAGGAGCUUGCUCCUCUGACGUUAGCGGCGGACGGGUGAGUAACACGUGGAUAACCUACCUAUAAGACUGGGAUAACUUCGGGAAACCGGCGCUAAUACCGGAUAAUAUAUUGAACCGCAGGGUUCAAUAGUGAAAGACGGCUUUGCUGUAACUUAUAGAUGGAUCCGCGCCGCAUUAGCGAGUUGGUGGGUUAACGGCUUAUCAAGGCAACGAUGCGUAGCCGACCUGACGGGCGGAUCGCCCACCCUGGAGCGUGGCCACCGUCCAUACUCCUACGGGAGGCAGCAGUCGGGUAUCUGACGCAGUGGUCGGAAGCCUGACGGAACAACGCCGCGUGAGUGAUGGCGGUCUUCGGAGCGUAAUACUCUGUUAUUAGUGAUGAACAAAUGUGUACGUAACUAUGCACGGCUUGACGGUAACGAAUCAGAAAGCCACGGCUAACUACGUG